AUGACUUUUUUUGUCGUUUUCUCUUAACAUAUGUAAAAUUACAUGUCUUCUCUGCUAUUCUUUUUAGGCACAAAAGGCAAUCAUGACUCCUGAGUUGCAACUUUUGGAUUUACCCAUGGAGAUCUUGAAAAUAAUACUCUUGGAAGUAGUUCUACUUGAUGGAGAUGCUGCCUACAUGAAUCUUUCGCUUACUUGCAGUUGCUUUAGUGCAAUUGUGAACAGGACCCUGUUCAGACAGAAGGCACACUAUGCAUGGCUUGACAAAAAGGAAAACGUGGUUGCGUCAGAGGAUUUUUUGAUGGCAUAGAGGACCCAGACUGCUGUUCCAGGUGCCAUUAUUUAAUUGGGAGGGAGAAUUAAUGCUUGACCACAUGCUUUCUCCACUAUCAAAAAUAACUGUGAACAGUAUCAUC